rnacentral:rRNA from 1 species
UACGUAGGGCGCAAGCGUUGUCCGGAAUUAUUGGGCGUAAAGAGCUCGUAGGCGGUUUGUCGCGUCUGUCGUGAAAGCUUGGGGCUUAACCCCAAGUCUGCGGUGGAUACGGGCAGACUAGAGGCAGGUAGGGGAGAACGGAAUUCCCGGCGUAGCGGUGAAAUGCGCAGAUAUCGGGAGGAACACCGGUGGCGAAGGCGGGUCUCUGGGCAGUAACUGACGCUGAGGAGCGAAAGCGUGGGGAGCGAACAGG